rnacentral:rRNA from 1 species
GCCCAAUAGCUAGCCCCACCACACAUGAAAACUUCUCAAUACAUAUUCCCAAAACCCAGCACCUUUAAAACAAAUCAUUUUUCCCCCUUAGUACGGGCGACAGAAAAGACCAUUUGGAGCUACAGACCAAGUACCGCAAGGGAACGCUGAAAAAGUAAUGAAAUAAUUCCUACAAGCAAUAAAAAGCAAAGACUUAUCCUUGUACCUUUUGCAUCAUGAUUAAGCAAGUAAAUUAUGAACGAAGCGCCCUUUAGUUUUUCUUCCCGAAACCAGACGAGCUACUCCGAGACAGCCUUUUUAGGGCUAAUCCGUCUCUGUGGCAAAAGAGUGGAAAGAGCUCCGAGUAGAGGUGAUAAGCCUACCGAGCCUGGUUAUAGCUGGUUGUUCAAGACAUGGAUAAAAGUUCAGCCUCCCAGCUUCUUAUUUCACACCCCGAUUAAAAGAAACAAGGAGAGUUAGUUAAAGAAGGUCCAGCUUCUUUAAAGAAAGAUACAACUUUUUUAGGAGAUAAAAGAUCAUAUUUAAAUAAGGAUUAUUAUUUUAGUGGGCCUAAGAGCAGCCAUCUUCAUAAAAAGCGUUAAAGCUUGAAUAAUUUUUAACCUAUUAUAUGGAUAAACAAUCUUUUCCCCUUGGUUUAUUGAACUAUUUCAUGCCCGCAUGAAAGAAAUUAUGCUUAAAUGAGUAAUAAGGGGGAUAAAGACCCCCUCCAUUGCACAAGUGUAUAUCGGAACGGACCCACCGCCGAUUGUUAAUGUUCCCAAAAGAGGGUAUUGUGGAAAAAACCAGUGAACUAGAUAAACCCACAACCCGAACCAUUAACCCCACACAGGAGUGCUAAAAAGGAAAGACUAAAAGGGAAGGAAGGAACUCGGCAACCAAGAGCCUCGCCUGUUUACCAAAAACAUCGCCUCUUGCAAAAUCAAAGAAUAAGAGGUCCCGCCUGCCCUGUGACCCAAGGGUUUAACGGCCGCGGUAUCUUGACCGUGCGAAGGUAGCGCAAUCACUUGUCCUUUAAAUGGGGACCUGUAUGAAUGGCACAACGAGGGCUCAACUGUCUCCCUUCCCUAGUCAAUGAAAUUGAUUUUCCCGUGCAGAAGCGGGAAUACACCCAUAAGACGAGAAGACCCUAUGGAGCUUUAGUCAUUAAGCAGCCUACAGUAAUAGCCUCAGAUAAACAGGCAAAAACAACGUAAUAUCCUGCUGAAGUGUCUUCGGUUGGGGCGACCGUGGGAUACAUAAAACUCCCAUGCGGACUGGGAAAACUUUCCCAAAACCAAGGGCUACUGCCCUAAGUAGUAGAAUGUCUAACCUAACUGAUCCGGCCUUGGCCGAUCAACGGACCGAGUUACCCUAGGGAUAACAGCGCAAUCCCCUCCUAGAGCCCCCAUCGACGAGAGGGUUUACGACCUCGAUGUUGGAUCAGGACAUCCUAAUGGUGCAGCCGCUAUUAAGGGUCCGUUUGUUCAACGGUUAAAGUCCUACGUGAUCUGAGUUCAGACCGGAGUAAUCCAGGUCAGUUUCUAUCUAUGGUUAUGAUCUUUUCUAGUACGAAAGGACCGAAAAGAAGGGGCCCAUGCCCAGGGCACGCCCCACCCCUACCUGAAGAAACCAACUAAAACAAGAAAAGGGACAUACCCGGACUUGUUAAAGAGAAUGACAU